AAACCUGUUUGUGAAUUUUAUUAUGAACUUUUGAACUUGGCAACGAAUUUGCGAAGUCCGGAACGAAGUUCGGAAUCUUACGAUGAAAAGUCAGCUGAAAUUGACUGUAACAGGAAUUGGCAGACACCCCCCGAAUUAAAAGGGGCUAGUUUCGCCCCUGGGUCAGUAUAGCUCUUAUAGCAGAUACCAUUUAGUAUUAUUCAUAAUUAGCCUUAAACUGAUAGAGUUAAUUUGUUUAUUUUGUGUUCG